rnacentral:rRNA from 1 species
GACGAACGCUGGCGGCGUGCUUAACACAUGCAAGUCGAACGGAAAGGCCCUGCGGUUUGGCUUCGCGCGGAAGGGGAGAGCGUGAGUAGAACACGAGGAACCUGGCCCUGACAUAGUGAUAGCAACAGGUGACUAGGGCGGAAAACGCAUAGCAUCUGCUUCUACAGAGGGUGGAAUGGUAAUUGGCGGCGGUUGGGGAUGGGCUCGCGGCUUAUCAGCUUGUUGGUGGGGUUGUGGCUGACCAAGGCUGCGACGGGUAGCCGGCCUGAGAGGGCGACCGGCCACAUUGGGACUGAGACACGGCCCAGACUCCUACGGGAGGCAGCAGUGGGGAAUAUUGCACAAUGGGCGGAAGCCUGAUGCAGCGACGCCGCGUGCGGGAUGACGGCCUUCGGGUUGUAAACCUCUUUCGCCUCCGAAGAAGCGUAAGUGACGGUAAUGGGUAAAGAAGCACCGGCUAACUACGUG